GACGAACGCUGGCGGCGUGCUUAACACAUGCAAGUCGAACGGAAAGGCCCUGCUUUUGUGGGGUGCUCGAGUGGCGAACGGGUGAGUAACACGUGAGUAACCUGCCCUUGACUUUGGGAUAACUUCAGGAAAAUGGGGCUAAUACCGGAUAGGAGCUCCUGCUGCAUGGUGGGGGUUGGAAAGUUUCGGCGGUUGGGGAUGGACUCGCGGCUUAUCAGCUUGUUGGUGGGGUAGUGGCUUACCAAGGCUUUGACGGGUAGCCGGCCUGAGAGGGUGACCGGCCACAUUGGGACUGUGAUACGGCCCAGACUCCUACGGGAGGCAGCGGUGGGGAAUAUUGCACAAUGGGCGGAAGCCUGAUGCAGCAACGCCGCGUGCGGGAUGACGGCCUUCGGGUUGUAAACCGCUUUCGCCUGUGACGAAGCGUGAGUGACGGUAAUGGGUAAAGAAGCACCGGCUAACUACGUG
rnacentral:rRNA from 1 species